CGGCUGCUGGAAUGCUUCGAGGCCGAAAGUUCCGGCGCCUGAGGAUGGCUCUGCGGCCUAUCAGGUAGUAGUGAGGGUAACGUCCUCACUAGCCGAUGACGGGUACGGGCGUUGAAAGACGGAGCCCGGAGAUGGACUCUGAGACACGAGUCCAGGCCCUACGGGGCGCAGCAGGCGCGAAACCUUCGCAAUGCUCGAAAGAGUGACGAGGGAAUUCCAAGUGCCUACGCUCAGCGUAGGCUGUUUAGAUGCCUAAAAAGCAUCUAGAGGAAGGACUGGGUAAGACGGGUGCCAGCCGCCGCGGUAA
rnacentral:rRNA from 1 species